UCCCAGGUGGCUCAGUGGUAAAGAAUCCGCCUGCAAUGCAGGAGACCCAGGUUUGAUCCCUGGGUUGGGAA
rnacentral:tRNA from 1 species